AUGUUCUCUACGGACGGGUGAGUAACACGUGGGUAACCUGCCUGUAAGACUGGGAUAACUCCGGGAAACCGGGGCUAAUACCGGAUGCUUGUUUGAACCGCAUGGUUCAAACAUAAAAGGUGGCUUCGGCUACCACUUACAGAUGGACCCGCGGCGCAUUAGCUAGUUGGUGAGGUAAUGGCUCACCAAGGCAACGAUGCGUAGCCGACCUGAGAGGGUGAUCGGCCACACUGGGACUGAGACACGGCCCACACUCCUACGGGAGGCAGCAGUAGGGAAUCUUCCGCAAUGGACGAAAGUCUGACGGAGCAACGCCGCGUGAGUGAUGAGGGUUUUCGGAUCUUAAAGCUCUGUUGUUAGGGAAGAACAAUUACCCUUCCAAUAUGGAGGUACCUUUACUUCUCCUAUCCCGAAAGCCACACCU
rnacentral:rRNA from 1 species